rnacentral:rRNA from 1 species
UACGUAGGGUGCAAGCGUUGUCCGGAAUUAUUGGGCGUAAAGAGCUCGUAGGCGGUUCGUCGCGUCGGCUGUGAAAACCUGAGGCUCAACCUCAGGCCUGCAGUCGAUACGGGCGGACUUGAGUACUGCAGGGGAGACUGGAAUUCCUGGUGUAGCGGUGAAAUGCGCAGAUAUCAGGAGGAACACCGGUGGCGAAGGCGGGUCUCUGGGCAGUAACUGACGCUGAGACGCGAAAGCGUGGGGAGCAAACAGG